rnacentral:rRNA from 1 species
CCUGUACCGCUUAAAGUCGCUAUUAGAGAUGUGAUGACGCAAGAGGAUAAGCUAAGCUAGCUGAUGGAUGCUAGUCUAAGAGUCAAGGCCAGUGUGUAGGCAAAUCCGCACACUAUUAAGGCUGAGGCUUGAUAGGUAUCGAAAACAUAAGUAGAGAAGUAGCCGAUUUCAAAUUGCCAAGAAAAGUCACUAUCGAGACCAAAGCGCCCGUACCCGAAACCGACACAGGUAGGGAGGUAGAGAAUACCAAGACGCGCGGAAGAACCUUUGUUAAGGAACUCGGCAAAAUGUCCCCGUAACUUCGGGAGAAGGGGAGCCAUAGCGAUAUGGCCACAGAAACCAGGCCCAAGCGACUGUUUACCAAAAACACAAGUUUCUGCAAAAUCGUAAGAUGAAGUAUAGGAGCUGACACCUGCCCGGUGCUGGAAGGUUAAGGAGACGGCUUAGCGCAAGCGAAGGCUCGAACUUAAGCCCCAGUAAACGGCGGCCGUAACGAUAACGGUCCUAAGGUAGCGAAAUUCCUUGUCGGGUAAGUUCCGACCCGCACGAAAGGUGUAACGAUUUGGGCACUGUCUCAACAAAGGAUCCGGUGAAAUUGUAGUAGUCGUGAAGAUGCGACUUACCCACGCUAGGACGAAAGACCCCGUGGAGCUUUACUGUAGGCUGAUAUUGGACUUUGAGAUUAGAUAUACAGGAUAGUUGGGAGACUAUGAAGCAUGUACGCCAGUAUGUGCAGAGUCACCCUUGGGAUACCAACUUUCUAAUAUUAAAGUUCUAACAUUGACCCUUGAAUCAGGGCAAUGGACAUUGUCAGUUGGGCAGUUUGACUGGGGCGGUCGCCUCCCAAAAAGUAACGGAGGCGUUCAAAGGUUCGCUCAGAAUGGACGGAAACCAUUCGUAGAGUACAAAGGCAAAAGCGAGCUUAACUGCAAAACCUACAAGUUGCGCAGAGUAGAAAUACGGACUUAGUGAUCCGGUGGCACCGCAUGGAAGGGCCAUCGCUCAACGGAUAAAAGCUACCCCGGGGAUAACAGGCUUAUCUCCCCCAAGAGUCCACAUCGACGGGGAGGUUUGGCACCUCGAUGUCGGCUCGUCUCAUCCUGGGGCUGAAGUAGGUCCCAAGGGUUGGGCUGUUCGCCCAUUAAAGAGGCACGCGAGCUGGGUUCGGAACGUCGUGAGACAGUUCGGUCCCUAUCCAGCGUGGGCGUAAGAAAUUUGAGAGGAUCUGUCCCUAGUACGAGAGGACCGGGAUGGACACACCUAUGGUGUACCAGUUGUAAAGCCAUUUGCAUAGCUGGGUAGCUACGUGUGGAAACGAUAAGUACUGAAAGCAUCUAAGUACGAAACAGACCUCAAGAUAAGAUUUCUCAGAGUACGUAAAGAAAAUACGUUUGAUAGGUCCAAGGUGUAAGUGCAGUAAUGUAUUAAGCUAAUGGAUACUAAACUUUACAUCUUGACUGG